UACGUAGGUGGCAAGCGUUAUCCGGAAUUAUUGGGCGUAAAGAGCGCGCAGGUGGUUGGUUAAGUCUGAUGUGAAAGCCCACGGCUUAACCGUGGAGGGUCAUUGGAAACUGGUCGACUUGAGUGCAGAAGAGGGAAGUGGAAUUCCAUGUGUAGCGGUGAAAUGCGUAGAGAUAUGGAGGAACACCAGUGGCGAAGGCGGCUUCCUGGUCUGUAACUGACGCUGAAGCGCGAAAGCGUGGGUAGCGAACGGGAUUAGAUACCCUGGUA
rnacentral:rRNA from 1 species